rnacentral:rRNA from 1 species
UGGCUCAGGACGAACGCUGGCGGCGUGCUUAACACAUGCAAGUCGAACGAUGAACCGCUUUCGGGCGGGGAUUAGUGGCGAACGGGUGAGUAACACGUGGGCAAUCUGCCCUGCACUCUGGGACAAGCCCUGGAAACGGGGUCUAAUACCGGAUAUGACCGUCUGCCGCAUGGUGGAUGGUGUAAAGCUCCGGCGGUGCAGGAUGAGCCCGCGGCCUAUCAGCUUGUUGGUGAGGUAGUGGCUCACCAAGGCGACGACGGGUAGCCGGCCUGAGAGGGCGACCGGCCACACUGGGACUGAGACACGGCCCAGACUCCUACGGGAGGCAGCAGUGGGGAAUAUUGCACAAUGGGCGAAAGCCUGAUGCAGCGACGCCGCGUGAGGGAUGACGGCCUUCGGGUUGUAAACCUCUUUCAGCAGGGAAGAAGCGAAA